CAGUCGCCGCGGGAAUACGAAGGUCCCGAGCGUUGUUCGGAAUCACUGGGCGUAAAGGGAGCGUAGGCGGCGUGGUAAGUCAGAUGUGAAAUCCCGGGGCUCAACCCCGGAACUGCAUCCGAUACUGCCAUGCUAGAGGAUUGGAGAGGUAGCUGGAAUUCUUGGUGUAGCAGUGAAAUGCGUGGAGAUCAAGAGGAACACUCGUGGCGAGAGCGAGCUACUGGACAAUAACUGACGCUGAGGCUCGAAGGCCAGGGUAGCGAAAGGGAUUAGAUACCCCGGUAGUCCCUGUCUCUUAUAC
rnacentral:rRNA from 1 species